UUUCUCCGGUCCUUUUCGCGUGCUUGGUUGGAGGUCCAGCUGCAGCUUGCCCUACUUUAAAGGAUAUAACUGAUGCAGACCUCCACGAGAAACUGCAAAUGGUAUCUGAAAGUUCGACUCUGGAGGAGCUUCAAAGAGCCACUGAUCCUCUUUUAGACUACAUGGCCAGCGCAGGUUGCAUCAGACUCUUAACAACCAUCAGUGAUCGAGAUCUUCUCAUGCAUGAUCUGCUAAUGUUUCAUGUUGUUCACCGAGUCCAGGGCCCUUUUCAAAGGUUUGAAGAAGGACUAAAGACACUUGGCGUUUUGGAUGUUGUGAAGCAACAUCCAGACAGUUUUCGGACUUUGUUCUGCCAUGAACCACAGCCAUUAACUGCUGACAUGAUGGAUGACCUUUUCACCCCUCGGCUUGCUCCCAAAGGAAGUAACAGGAGAAGAGUGGAAGAGACGGUCAUUCCUUUGUGGCGAGAUUAUCUGCAGGAUGCAGAAGAUGAGGAAGGAUCAUCCAAG